rnacentral:rRNA from 1 species
UGCAGUCGACGGGGAUACGAGAGCUUGCUUUUGUAUCUUAGUGGCGGACGGGCGAGUAACGCGUGAGCAACCUGCCCUUCAGUGGGGAAUAACGUCUGGAAACGGACGCUAAUACCGCAUAACACAACGGAGCCGCAUGACUUUGUUGUCAAAGGAUUUAUUCGCUGAAGGAUGGGCUCGCGUCCGAUUAGCUAGAUGGUGGGGUAAAGGCUCACCAUGGCGACGAUCGGUAGCCGAACUGAGAGGUUGAUCGGCCGCAUUGGGACUGAGACACGGCCCAGACUCCUACGGGAGGCAGCAGUGGGGGAUAUUGCACAAUGGGGGAAACCCUGAUGCAGCAAUGCCGCGUGAGGGAAGAAGGUCUUCGAAUUGUAAACCUAAGUAGCCAGGGACGAUAAUGACGGUACCUGGAGAGUAAGCUCCGGCUAACUACGUGCCAGCAGCCGCGGUAAUACGUAGGGAGCGAGCGUUGUCCGGAUUUACUGGGUGUAAAGGGUGCGUAGGCGGGAUGGCAAGUCAGAUGUGAAAUACCGGGGCUUAACCCCGGGGCUGCAUUUGAAACUGUCGUUCUUGAGUGAAGUAGAGGCAGGCGGAAUUCCUAGUGUAGCGGUGAAAUGCGUAGAUAUUA